UACGUAGGGGGCGAGCGUUGUCCGGAUUUAUUGGGCGUAAAGAGCUUGUAGGCGGUUUGUCGCGUCUGCUGUGAAAUUUCGGGGCUCAACCCCGAACUUGCAGUGGGUACGGGCAGACUAGAGUGUGGUAGGGGAGACUGGAAUUCCUGGUGUAGCGGUGAAAUGCGUAGAUAUCAGGAGGAACACCGGUGGUGUAGACGGCUUUCUGGACCGUAACUGACGCUGAGGAGCGAAAGCGUGGGGAGCAAACAGG
rnacentral:rRNA from 1 species